CUGAGGGAGGGGAGAUGGCUUCCUUGCAUGUUAAAUGAUACCAAAAGAGGGGAGGGAGGGGUUUUUGUGAGCUUUUUGGAGGAGAAUGUUUCAUGGAAGGGAAGAUGGAAGAUGAACCAUGGGUGAGUUCUUGUCGAAUUCAGCACCCUGAUCUGUUCUUGUUUCUGUUAAUGCGGAUCUAAAUUCAGCAAAAAAGAAAGAAGAGAAAAAAAACACACAAAAUCUAGCUUUCAUAAAAUUGGAGGCUAUCGGAUGGAAAGAGAUGGCAGUAUUGUAAUCCGUAUUAGGCUGUUGAAUCAUGUAUGGAAGUGCUUAUAAAUAAUCCCAGUACUAGAUCCUAUCUAAAUUUAGAGGAGCAUCAUCGGCAUUUCUUCCUUGAUUUUCAAGUAACAAUUAUCCGAUCACAAAACAAACAUUUUUCUUUUUUCCUUUUGUGUUCCCAGA
rnacentral:lncRNA from 1 species